rnacentral:rRNA from 1 species
UACGGGGGGGGCAAGCGUUGUUCGGAAUUACUGGGCGUAAAGGGCUCGUAGGCGGCCAACUAAGUCAGACGUGAAAUCCCUCGGCUUAACCGGGGAACUGCGUCUGAUACUGGAUGGCUUGAGUUUGGGAGAGGGAUGCGGAAUUCCAGGUGUAGCGGUGAAAUGCGUAGAUAUCUGGAGGAACACCGGUGGCGAAGGCGGGUCUCUGGGCAACAACUGACGCUGAGGAGCGAAAGCGUGGGGAGCGAACAGG